UACGGAGGGUGCAAGCGUUAAUCGGAAUAACUGGGCGUAAAGGGUACGCAGGCGGGAUUUUAAGUUAGAUGUGAAAUCCCCGGGCUUAACCUGGGAAUAGCAUUUCAGACUGUGAGUCUAGAGUACUUUAGGGAGGGGUAGAAUUCCACGUGUAGCGGUGAAAUGCGUAGAGAUGUGGAGGAAUACCGAAGGCGAAGGCAGCCCCUUGGGAAUGAACUGACGCUCAUGUGCGAAAGCGUGGGGAGCAAACAGG
rnacentral:rRNA from 1 species